AUUAUACUCCCUCCGUUUGGAAAAUACUUGUCAUAGAAAUAAAUACAAGUGAGUGUAUCUAGAACUAAAAUACAUCUAGAUACAUUCAUUUUUUGGACAAGUAUUUCCGGACGGAGGGAGUAUUAG
rfam:Triticum aestivum genome assembly, contig: Triticum_aestivum_CS42_TGACv1_scaffold_641123_T_2BS-0.162894_1BL-0.134887